AUUAGAGUUUGAUCCUGGCUCAGAUUGAACGCUGGCGGCAUGGCUAAAGCAUGCAAGUCGUACGAGAACCACUUCGGUGGGGACAGUGGCGGAAGGGCGAGGAAUGCGAUCGAACAUACCCCGAGGUGGGGGAUAGCGUCGGGAAACUGACAGUAAUACCCCAUGUGCUCUACGGAGGAAAGGUUUACCGCCUUGGGAGUGGCGAUCGUCCUAUCAGGUAGUUGGUGAGGUAACGGCUCACCAAGCCGAAGACGGGUAGCGGGUGUGAGAGCAUGACCCGCCGCAUCGGGACUGAGACACUGUCCGGACUCCUACGGGAGGCUGCAGCGACGAAUCUUCCGCAAUGGGCGAAAGCCUGACGGAGCAAUGCCGCGUGUGGGAUGAAGCAUCUUCGAUGUGUAAACCACUGUCAGAUUCUAGGACCAUGAGCAGUCCCAAAGGAAGGGCCGGCUAAUUCAGUGCCAGCAGCCGCGGUAAUACUGAAGGCCCAAGCGUUAAUCGGAAUCACUGGGCUUAAAGCGUACGCAGGCGGAUCGGUAGGUAUUUCGUGAAAUCCCACGGCUCAACCGUGGAACAGCGGAGUAAACCCCCGAUCUUGAGGCAGGUAGAGGUCAACGGAACCAUGUGUGGACCGGUGAAAUGGAUAGGGAUACAUGGGAACGCCAAUGGCGAAGGCAGUUGACUGGGCCUGACCUGACGCUCAGGUACGAAAGCGUGGGGAGUGAACGGGAUUAGAUACCCCGGUAGUCCACGCCGUAAACGAUGCACACUAGGUCGGGGAGGCUUUCACGCCCUCCCGGCCGAAGGAAAACCAUUAAGUGUGCCGCCUGGGGAGUACGGUCGCAAGGCUAAAACUCAAAGGAAUUGACGGGGGCUCACACAAGCGGUGGAGCAUGUUGCUUAAUUCGAAGCAACGCGAAGAACCUUACCUGGGUUUGACAUGCAUGGAUUAACUCUGUGAAAGCAGAGUGACGCCCUUUGGGUGGAACGUACACAGGUGCUGCAUGGCUGUCGUCAGCUCGUGCUGUGAAGUGUCGGGUUAAGUCCCUUAACGAGCGCAACCCCUAUCGUUAGUUGCUAACGCGUAAUGGCGAGCACUUUAGCGAGACUGCCGGUGUCAAACCGGAGGAAGGUGGGGAUGACGUCAAGUCCUCAUGGCCCUUAUACCCAGGGCUGCAAACGUGCUACAAUGGCGUGGACAAAGCGACGCAAUACCGCGAGGUGGAGCAAAUCGCAAAAACCACGCCCCAGUUCGGAUAGCAGGCUGCAAUUCGCCUGCUUGAAGCCGGAAUCGCUAGUAAUCGCGUAUCAGCUACGACGCGGUGAAUACGUUCCUGAGCCUUGUACACACCGCCCGUCACGUCAUGGAAGCUGUUAGUGCCCGAAGUCACCUCAUUUCAGAGGUGCCUACGGCAAGAAUGGUGACUGGGACGAAGUCGUAACAAGGUAACCAA
rnacentral:rRNA from 1 species